rnacentral:rRNA from 1 species
CAGCAGCCACGGGAAUACAGAGGGUGCGAGCGUUAAUCGGAUUUACUGGGCGUAAAGCGUGCGUAGGCGGCUUCUUAAGUCGGAUGUGAAAUCCCUGAGCUUAACUUAGGAAUUGCAUUCGAUACUGGGAAGCUAGAGUAUGGGAGAGGAUGGUAGAAUUCCAGGUGUAGCGGUGAAAUGCGUAGAGAUCUGGAGGAAUACCGAUGGCGAAGGCAGCCAUCUGGCCUAAUACUGACGCUGAGGUACGAAAGCAUGGGGAGCAAACAGGAUUAGAGACCCCGGUAGUCCCUGUCUCUUAUAU